rnacentral:rRNA from 1 species
CACGUAGGCACCAAGCGUUGUCCGGAUUUAUUGGGCGUAAAGCGUGCGCAGGCGGUUGUGCAAGACAGAUGUGAAAUCCCCGGGCUCAACCUGGGAACUGCAUUUGUGACUGCACGGCUGGAGUGCGGCAGAGGGGGAUGGAAUUCCGCGUGUAGCAGUGAAAUGCGUAGAUAUGCGGAGGAACACCGAUGGCGAAGGCAAUCCCCUGGGCCUGCACUGACGCUCAUGCACGAAAGCGUGGGGAGCAAACAGG